UGGGGAAUAUUGGACAAUGGGGGAAACCCUGAUCCAGCAAUGCCGCGUGAAUGAAGAAGGCCUUCGGGUUGUAAAGUUCUUUCACUUGUGAAGAUGAUGACGGUAGCAAGAGAAGAAGCUCCGGCUAACUCUGUGCCAGCAGCCGCGGUAAGACAGAGGGAGCUAGCGUUGUUCGGAAUGACUGGGCGUAAAGGGUGCGUAGGCGGCUGUUUAAGUAGGGUGUAAAAGCCCUGGGCUCAACCCAGGAACGGCACUCUAAACUGGACAGCUAGAGUCUGACAGAGGAAAGUGGAAUUCCUAGUGUAGGGGUGAAAUCCGCAGAUAUUAGGAGGAACACCAGAGGCGAAGGCGGCUUUCUGGGUCAGUACUGACGCUGAGGCACGAAAGCGUGGGGAGCAAACAGG
rnacentral:rRNA from 1 species